AAAUUUAAAUAAUGCUAAAAUAUUUUAAUCGCUGAAAUUAAUUAACAAAAAUUAGUUUAUUCAACAAAACCCUAGUAACAAUUCACUCCGACAAUUGAUUACAUCCGACAAUAACUUGAAUUUGCCAGAGCCGAGAAAUUCGAGUAAAAGAGAGAAAAAAAAGAUAUUUUUAGAGAAUUUCAAUAUCUCAAAAAAAUACAAAAGAAACUGGCUUUAUUCUGCGGUAUGACUUGAAGAGAAAUAAAUUGAGAAGAAGAUAAAAUUAGAAGGGGGAUAGGUGAAAGGUAAAAGGAGUUUGGAAAGAGAAAAUACGUCGUUUCGCGAAGCUGAUUCCGUCUAUUCACCAGAGGAUCAGCCUCAAAGGACAGGUCAAAUCCGGAGUAUUUCCAAAAAAUUCUAAGGGUGAAAACGUAAAACAAGAUAAUCCUGUUAUAUACUUGGACGGAAAGUAAAGAAAUGUGUUAUAUGAAACCUAGCUCCCAUUCAGGAGACAUCUUUUCUUAGCACUUUUAUGCCAGUAACGUAAAAAUGAAAACAUCCAGUACAAGACACUGUUCAUUAGAAACGUAAGCAGACAAGAUCAAUUUUCCUCCGUUUCGAUUACGUUUGUUAUAAUGUGUACAAUAGAAUAGAAGAACAGGUAAGUUCUGAGCUUUCUAUACCCAGUGAGAAUUUUUUCAGGUAUUACUUGGGAGAAAGAUAGUUCGGUUUGUGAUGGUGUAUUCUACGGUUGAAUUCUUAGUUAAUUUUUUCUAUAAUUUCCUUCAUCCGAUCUUCUAUAGAGAUAAGCUAUAAGAAUAUACUAUCAUCGUACUUAUAGAUUUUUGAAAACUUUGCGAAAAAAAUUUUACAAAUUAAAGAGGUUGUAUCUUUGUCUUCACGUCCACUCUCUCCGUUUCCAAAAAUUUCAGUUUAACCUAAGAACUGCGAGGAAAUCAA